rnacentral:lncRNA from 1 species
AUGUUGUUUGGUUCAUGUCUGAAGUUUUACAUUAGACUACCAAAGUCAGGCUAUUUUAAUAUGAAUGUACGCAAACCAGUCAUCUUAAAAAAUAUCUAUAAUAAUCCUAGAAGCCCCACAAGCAGCAAUUCUGUGUUCCUCAUCCUUCCUAGCUACAGGAGCCUGUCUGUCAUUACAAGAAAAAAAAAAAAAAAAAAAAAAAAAAAAAAAAAAAAAAGAUUUCCUGCUGUCCAGAAAGGUGGACAUUUGAAUGUCCAGAAAUUCCUUUAUUAAGUUAAUUGUAUUGAGUGCACCCAUCCUGUCCACAGAUCCAUUGCUUAGUAGUUAUGACAGGUCAAAAGCAAAAUCUAUUAUUAGCCAAUUUACUGAAAUGGAGUUUUUCAUUUUCAGAAUCACUAGCCACUGUCUUGAGGGUACCAGAUCCUAAUUAAAACACAAAGACCUAAUCUUAAUUUAAACUUCAAAAUAGUGAUACACAUGAAGGGUUAAAGAGGAGAAUCUUGGAAUAUGCUAUAAUUAAAGAAAAUCUCACUAAAAAGGUUUAUUUCUUCAAAGCUGUUUCCUUAUUUCAAGAUAAUAUAAAGCAGAAGCUUCCCUGCUGGAUCUAUGUAAAAUUCUCUGUGCCACGGUGCCAACUGGUGGCCAAGCACUAAAGCAGAAUUAACCAAUUAGUAAAGUUUCCCAUCUGGAACAGCCUGGACUUACUGCGUAUCCCCACAUUGCAUUACCAUGAUGGAAACUUCUAACUGACAUCUUUAACAAGAAAACAUCCCUCACUCUGAAACAUCUUUCUUUUCAUCUUUUCUACACACAAAACCAAACAUGGUCACUUCAGAGAGAGACAGAGCAUUCAGAGUUGGCCCAUUCUCACCAUGAAAGGUGUUUUUUUUUUUUGUUUUUUUUUUUUGUUGUUGUUGUUGUUGUUUUUUAUUUUUUUAUGCAGACUUCCCUAGGUCAGUUCACAGAUUCUUCAGCUAUGAGCAGAGAUAAAAUACAGACAUGUAUCCCUUUAAGAAGCACAGUGGGUCUGGGCAAAUAAUUUUAAAUUACUGAAGAAAAACAAACAAACAAACAUAAAUACAUCUGAUGUCAUAUAGCCAAGAUUUCUCUUAUUAUUUAUAGAAAGAAACUAGAAGAUUCUAGUCUAACAACUCUGGACAAUAAACUUUUCUUCUUGGAAGACA